rnacentral:rRNA from 1 species
AUUGAACGCUGGCGGCAUGCUUUACACAUGCAAGUCGAACGGCAGCGCGGGCUUCGGCCUGGCGGCGAGUGGCGAACGGGUGAGUAAUACAUCUGAACGUGCCCAGUAGUGGGGGAUAGCUCGGCGAAAGCCGGAUUAAUACCGCAUACGACCUGAGGGUGAAAGCGGGGGAUCUUCGGACCUCGCGCUCUUGGAGCGGCCGAUGGCAGAUUAGCUAGUUGGUGGGGUAAAGGCCUACCAAGGCGACGAUCUGUAGCUGGUCUGAGAGGACGACCAGCCACACUGGGACUGAGACACGGCCCAGACUCCUACGGGAGGCAGCAGUGGGGAAUUUUGGACAAUGGGCGAAAGCCUGAUCCAGCAAUGCCGCGUGUGUGAUGAAGGCCUUCGGGUUGUAAAGCACUUUUGGCGGGAACGAAAAGGACUGUGCCAAUACCACGGUUCGAUGACGGUACCCGCAGAAUAAGCACCGGCUAACUACGUG